rnacentral:rRNA from 1 species
GACGAACGCUGGCGGCGUGCUUAACACAUGCAAGUCGAACGGAAAGGCCCUGCUUUUGUGGUGUGCUCGAGUGGCGAACGGGUGAGUAACACGUGAGUAACCUGCCCUUGACUUUGGGAUAACUUCAGGAAACUGGGGCUAAUACCGGAUAGGAGCUCCUGCUGCAUGGUGGUGGUUGGAAAGUUUCGGCGGUUGGGGAUGGACUCGCGGCUUAUCAGCUUGUUGGUGGGGUAGUGGCUUACCAAGGCUUUGACGGGUAGCCGGCCUGAGAGGGUGACCGGCCACAUUGGGACUGAGAUACGGCCCAGACUCCUACGGGAGGCAGCAGUGGGGAAUAUUGCACAAUGGGCGGAAGCCUGAUGCACCAACGCCGCGUGCGGGAUGACGGCCUUCGGGUUGUAAACCGCUUUCGCCUGUGACGAAGCGUGAGUGACGGUAAUGGGUAAAGAAGCACCGGCUAACUACGUG